UGUAUUCUUCUAUGUUCUAUGUUCUAUAACUAACCACUCUACCCUCGCUAGAAUAGCUCAAUAAGGCUAAUUCUUUCUGAAUCAUUUCAAUUUCGAGAAUAAUCUUUCCCUUUCUCUGGCAUACAUUGUAAUAAUGUGGCUCUCUUUGUUUUUGUGACCAGAUACUUCCUUUGAAAAUACUGAUUUGAAGCUACCCAUCUCUGACAGCAUUAUCUCUCAAAUGUCUCAUAGUGCAGGCUUAAAACACUGAGUUAAUGGUCUGUUCAACAUCUGCUUUGAACUGUUUAUAUUGGGAGAUUAUAGCUUUGACGCAGUUGUGAUGAAGAUCGUAGGUCAGUCCCACCAUACAUGUUAUUAUUGGCAGAAGCUGUUCAUGGGAAAUGACCGUCAGCGGGAGCUGGGUCAGGGAGUUUUGCUCAUUCUCCCCUUACAAAACACACAGUUCUGAUCAGUGUUCUGUUAAGGCUUUCUGGAUUAUGGUCUGUGUUGGUGUGUAGUCUGACUGCAAUUUGAAAGAUGCUGCCUGACCUGCUGCAUGUUUCCAGCAUUUCCUGUUUUUAUUCCAGAUUUACAGCAUCUGUGGUAUUUCAUCUUCUGCUGAUUCCCAGCUGCUGAUAAGGAAUUUCCUGUGUGUGACAGAGAUAAAUUUAACAACCGUCUAAUCAAUGGACAGAGAUAUGAACUACAUCUGCCAAACAUAUUUUAUACUUGGAAACGAGCCAAUCUGGAUGAACGUUGGCAAUUUGAAGAAUUUGUUGUUCAGUUCAUUGAAUUGUCAACUCUGGAGCCCAACCAAAUUCUUUCCAACCUCAAAUCAGCAAAAACAAUAAAAUUAAAAACUCAGGACAUAUGUUGUGUUCUGACUCCAGUAGAGACCAGUAACAAUUUUUUUGAAAAUAGGAGAUGGGUUUUAAAAUCCUAUUUAUUUUGCAAAAGAAUAUGGCCACAAAGUUUUCCUGUUCUUGAGGCAGCAAAGUAAAUAUGACGUAUUUUCGAUUUAGAUUUAAUUGAUUAACUUUUUUCCUUUUUUAGUUAAUAUUAGGAAGGACUUUAAUGUUAACCAUUAUCUUAUUGAUUUAUUUUUCUACUUAUU